rnacentral:rRNA from 1 species
ACAGCUGCGGUAUUAUAACUGUACUAAGGUAGCAUAAUAAUUUGCCUUAUAAAUUAAGGCUAGAAUGAAUGGUUUGACGAAAAUUAGACUGUCUUUAUUUUAUUUGUUAGAAAUUAAUUUUUAUAGUGAAAAAGCUUGAAUAAUUUAAGGGGACGAGAAGACCCUAUUGAGCUUUAUUUAUUAAUAUUUAAAUAUAAAUAUAUAAUUUAUAUUAUGAAAAUUAUGUUGUAUAUAUAUAUAUAUUUAAUUGGAUUUAAUUUUGAUUGGGGUGAUCAAGGAAUAAAGAUAAAGUAACUUCCUUAAAAUUAAUGAUUGUUUUUAUAGAGUAAUAAACCAAGUUUUUUGCUUAUAAGAUAAGUUACCAUAGGGGUAACAGCGUAAUUUUUUUUGAGAGUUCAUAUUGAAAAAAGAGAUUGCGACCUCGAUGUUGGAUUAAAAAUUACCUUAAGGUGUAGAGGCUUUGUUAGGUGAAUCUGUUCGAUUUUUAAAAUUUUA